rnacentral:rRNA from 1 species
AACGAACGCUGGCGGCAUGCCUAACACAUGCAAGUCGAACGAGACCUUCGGGUCUAGUGGCGCACGGGUGCGUAACGCGUGGGAACCCGCCCUUAGGUUCGGAAUAACUCCCCGAAAGGGGUGCUAAUACCGGAUAAUGUCUUCGGACCAAAGAUUUAUCGCCUUUGGAUGGGCCCGCGUUGGAUUAGCUAGUUGGUAGGGUAAAAGCCUACCAAGGCGACGAUCCAUAGCUGGUCUGAGAGGAUGAUCAGCCACACUGGGACUGAGACACGGCCCAGACUCCUACGGGAGGCAGCAGUGGGGAAUAUUGGACAAUGGGCGAAAGCCUGAUCCAGCAACGCCGCGUGAGUGAUGAAGGCCUUAGGGUUGUAAAGCUCUUUUACCCGGGAUGAUAAUGACAGUACCGGGAGAAUAAGCUCCGGCUAACUCCGUG